GAAUUUAAUAUAUAUAUGUUUAAUAAAGUUUAUGAUGAAAUAGGUAAGAGUGUGUAUAUUUUGUUGGGAGGAUAGUUAAAUGUUAAUAACUUUAAUUAAAAUUUAAAUAUAAAUUAAUGAAUUUAAGAGUGGUUAAUUGAAUUAAUUAAGAAUUAAUUACCUUAGGGAUAACAGCGUAAUAUUUUUGGAGAGUUCAUAUUGAUAAAAAUGUUUGC
rnacentral:rRNA from 1 species